rnacentral:rRNA from 1 species
UACGUAGGGCGCAAGCGUUGUCCGGAAUUAUUGGGCGUAAAGAGCUCGUAGGCGGUUUGUCGCGUCUGUCGUGAAAGCUUGGGGCUUAACCCCAAGUCUGCGGUGGAUACGGGGCAGACUAGAGGCAGGUAGGGGAGAACGGAAUUCCCGGUGUAGCGGUGAAAUGCGCAGAUAUCGGGAGGAACACCGGUGGCGAAGGCGGUUCUCUGGGCCUGUACUGACGCUGAGGAGCGAAAGCGUGGGGAGCGAACAGG